GUACACUCCUGCGGGAGGCAGCAGUGGGGAAUUUUGGACAAUGGGCGAAAGCCUGAUCCAGCAAUGCCGCGUGUGUGAAGAAGGCCUUCGGGUUGUAAAGCACUUUUGUCCGGAAAGAAAUCCUUGGCUCUAAUACAGUCGGGGGAUGACGGUACCGGAAGAAUAAGCACCGGCUAACUACGUGCCAGCAGCCGCGGUAAUACGUAGGGUGCGAGCGUUAAUCGGAAUUACUGGGCGUAAAGCGUGCGCAGGCGGUUUGCUAAGACCGAUGUGAAAUCCCCGGGCUCAACCUGGGAACUGCAUUUGUGACUGGCAGGCUAGAGUAGGGCAGAGGGGGGUAGAAUUCCACGUGUAGCAGUGAAAUGCGUAGAGAUGUGGAGGAAUACCGAUGGCGAAGGCAGCCCCCUGGGCCAAUACUGACGCUCAUGCACGAAAGCGUGGGGAGCAAACAGGAUUAGAUACCCGUGUAGUCCCAUGAU
rnacentral:rRNA from 1 species